rnacentral:rRNA from 1 species
CACGUAGGGUGCGAGCGUUGUCCGGAAGUAUUGGGAGUAAAGAGCUCGUAGGCGGUGUGUCGCGUCGGCCGUGAAAACCUGCAGCUUAACUGUGGGCUUGCGGUCGAUACGGGCAUCACUGGAGUUCGGCAGGGGAGACUGGAAUUCCUGGUGUAGCGGUGAAAUGCGCAGAUAUCAGGAGGAACACCGGUGGCGAAGGCGGGUCUCUGGGCCGAUACUGACGCUGAGGCGCGAAAGCGUGGGGAGCAAACAGG